rnacentral:rRNA from 1 species
GAUGAACGCUGGCGGCGUGCCUAAUACAUGCAAGUCGAGCGAACAGACGAUGAGCUUGCUCCUCUGACGUUAGCGGCGGACGGGUGAGUAACACGUGGAUAACCUUCCUCUAAGACUUGGAUAACUUCGGGAAACCGGAGCUAAUACCGGAUAAUAUAUUGAACCGCAUGGUUCAAUAGUGAAAGACGGUUUUGCUGUCACUUAUAGCUGGUUCCGCGUCGCAUUAGCUAGUUGGUAAGGUAACGGCUUACCAAGGCAACGAUGCGUAGCCGACCUGAGAGGGUGAUCGGCCACACUGGAACUGAGACACGGUCCAGACUCCUACGGGAGGCAGCAGUAGGGAAUAUUCCGCAAUGGGCGAAAGCCUGACGGAGCAACGCCGCGUGAGUGAUGAAGGUCUUCGGAUCGUAAAACUCUGUUAUUAGGGAAGAAAAAAUGUGUAAGUAACUAUGCACGUCUUGACGGUACCUAAUCAGAAAGCCACGGCUAACUACGUG